CCAAGAACCAAGUGACGUUAGAGGAAAAAAAUUGAACACUAAAUUGGACAAUGGCAGUGAUUUAAGUGUUAGAUCAAGGAGGUGGUUUAAAAACACACAUUUGGCUGUACACUUAAAAAAACAGACGUCCUUGGAGAAUUUGACUACUAACUUUAAACCAAAAUGUCCUUGUUCUUCAUAUCAUUUCUUUUGGGGAUGUUGGGUCAUUUUAACCACUGCAUCUUUUGCUCCCGCAUUAACCCCUUUUUCAAAACAAGAAACUGACUUGGUGUUGGGAAUGUGAUAAGUGAUAAAUGAUAAAAUCCAAAAUCCUAGACCUAACACUUUCAAGGAAUAGUUCUCAUUAACUAGGGCCAGUGUCUGGAGACUUUGGGUUCUGCUCUGUUUCAGCUGUAAUAGUGCUGUGGGUUUGUCUCUGCUUAGCAUCUGUCCAGCAGUGAAAAUGGAAAACUGUGAAUGGUACGGUUUCAUCAGUUGGCUUCCUCUAAUGUUAAUGUGUAUUGCAUUCAGCCUCACUUGGCCCAAAGUCCAGGGAAAGGACCAAUAACCUUGAUUGUCUUGCUUAAAUUUGGGUUUAAUCUUGAACUGCUGUUGUACUACAUGGUUUUAUCCUAGAAAAUCACAAUUUUCCAUCUUUUUUCAAAGGGCUGAAUGUUCUUUGUUUUCAGACUUCUUGGUACAAAACAAGUUUCUAGACAGUAGUUUUGAAGGGAAAUAUGAACUGUUCAGAUGCAGUUGCUUUCUGCAACUAAACAUGCUUUAGUUUGAAGACUGUUGAAUUCUUCUGGAAAAGCCCAAGGAACUACUUUGAGUAUAUUAGCUCUUUGAGCAAGGAUAUUAUUUCAAUCUUAACAUCACAAUGCAUGCACUGUAUUGGAUUACAUUCCAUUAAUGCAGUAACAGUUAGUUACUAGUAUAUCAGGUUCUUGUGCCAAGCAAAAGGGAAAACUUGGAUAAUUCUUCCUUAUAAUUUAACCUGCUGAAAGUAAGGCCAGGUCUACACUGCAGGAGAAAAUCAAUUUAUCUAACUCCAGUUACGAGAAUUGCAUAGCUGGAGUUCACCUGCCUUAAAUCACAUUUGUCUGAAGGCCCCUUUGCAAGAGGUCUCCCAUCAAUUUUUCUUAUUCCUUGCAACCCUAUGGAAUACCUGGAUCAACAGGGACACCAUCAGUGUUUUGAUUUAACAGGUCCUUACUAAACAUACUGAAUUGAACUCCAGAAGAUCAAUUUCCAGAGUGUCAAUCUUUGGGUAAGCAUAGACAAGGCUUCAGCAGGGUGGAUAAAAAUCAACAACUUUAAAAAAAAUAAAAUAAAAAAGAGGGUUUUUUUGAUAAAAUACUUUUUGAGGGAAAAUAGUUUUGAUAGCUCAAAGAUAUCUCUUAGUGUAAUAGGGAUUAUACAUUCUUAUUCUGUAGUAUGUGACAAUACUAUCAUGAAAUGUUUAAGAAUUAAGAAACAUUUUUGUAAAUGAGUUCCAAAUACUUUAUGGAUUAGGGACCCAAUCUUAUGGGGUUCCAGAGGUGUCUGUAUAGAUUGUUUUGGUUAAUCUUUCUUAGCGGUCUGUUUAGAGGGUACUAUCAGAGAUGCUUAGUCUUGCAGUUCUCAAACUGGAUUUGUGUCUGCAGAGAUAAGGUAUGUUAACUGGAAAAAUGUCUUUAAAUUAUAUAUAGAAGUGAGAAAUAACAGGCCUCAAUCCUGUUGUCCCUCUGCAAAUUUGUGAACACAGUCAAUCCCUUGCCUCUCUCCAAAAGUGCAAAGUUUCAAAAAAAUGAAAUGAAUGGAAGACUGUUGGGGGCAGAAUAGAUCUAGAUGAGAAGUAGUCUGGAGAUAAAUGCAAGAGGGGAGGUCAAAACAAAAGAGAAACUGAGCAGCAUAUUCCAAAAGUCUUGAGGUCUUUGAGUGUAACCUUCAUUGACUUGAUAUCUACCCUUCUCUCACUGGAAGGAAAAACCUAUAAUGGUGGCAGUUUGGGAAUAUUUUAAUGAAGUUCCUCUACCUGUGGGUAAGACAGGCAUGCAUGCAAAAUGCAAACAGUGCAACAAAGAAAUGCAAGUCCUGGUUGUCUGACUGAAACAACAUCAUCAGAAGUGUUCCGUCUCAGGAGGAAGCUGCAUUGAAAAUGACGAAAGGAACGUGUCCGAACAUGCAGGAUCUUCAGGAGACUCCUCGACAGACAGGAUUCUGAAGACUAUCCAUCUUCAAGAUCACCAUCAUUUUCUGUAGUUUCAGAAUUAUCUGCCAAUGAUAGGGUUUCAGUCACCUCAAGUGUGUCAUAUAGCCACAGUAUAUCUUCUGUAGCAAAAAAGAAAAAACAACAACAACCAUAGAUAUCUUUGUGAUAAGAAUCAGCAGAUUGCAGAAAGUAGUAGUUGAUGGGGGGGCGGGGGAGCGGAUAUCCAGUUUGUUUAUGCAGUAAACUCUGCUUUCCAUAUUAUUGAGAACCCACACUUCACUAACAUAGUACAGUCAUUAAGACCAGGAUGCAGUCCGCCAACAGAGCAGAUGUUGCAAGCAAAUUGCUGGAUAAAGUCUGAGAGCAAUUGAGAAGAGUGCAAAAAGUCUAGAAGGUAAAAUUGUUAACCUGUGUCUUGAUGGGUGGAGCAGUGUUCACAAUGAUACUGUUAUGUGCUUGUGUGACAACAGAAGAGAAUGUUUUCCUUACAGAAACAAUAUAUCAGGAAAUGCACACAUAGCGGAAUACUUACAAGGAGUAGCAGUAAAAGCUGUAACAAACUGAAAAAAUUCAAAUGUCUUCUCUGCAGCUUGGUCACAAACUAUGCUGCACAGCUAUCCAAAAUGGGAAGAAAUUUAGAAGAGAGUGACGAGAGUCCCAAGCUAAUAACAUAUGGUUGCAGUGCUCAUUUGAUGCACCUCCUUGCCAAAAACUUCCAGAAAUAAAGACUAAUAUUGAAAUUGCAAAAUACUUCUGUUACAACCACUUUGCAGCAGCUACCCUGAAAAAAGUGGGAGGAAUCAAGCUAACUCUUCCACAAUAUGUGUGAUGAAACUUGGUGGUAGAUUGUUUUGAGCACUAUAUCAAGAACUGGCCUAAUCUGACAGUUUGUGAACAAAAUCGUGAAAAAAUAGAUGUUACGGUCACAGCCAAAAUUCUCAGCAUUUGAGCUUAAGAGAAUUGUUGAACAUAUGAUGGGUACUCUGAGGCCUAUUUCUGUAGCCUUGAACAAAAUGCAGCGAAAUAGCUGUUUUACUGCUGAUGCUGUUGAAAUUUGGAAGGAAC